UGUUCCCUCUCUCACUGGCUGUCUCUAUCUCUGUCAAAUAAAUAAAUAAAAUCUUAAAAAAAAAAAAAAACCUAUUAUUUCCUAAAAUGAGGUCCAUUGGUAUUACUGAUAAAAUUGCUCAUCUGUUUAAUACUUUAAAACCACUAUUUUCUUUUUCUCAUCUGUUUCCUUCUUGGUUUAUUAUUUUAUUAGCAGUUAUACUAAUAAUUACAGCUUUCUGAUAUAUCACUUUUUAAAUAUUUAAUAACAAAACUGGAGUUUAAAGUUUUCAUUCUUAUAUCAUUUUCUUUUCCUUUUUUUUAAUCAGCUAACCCUGCACUCUUCAAAAUAAAAUAUAUAGAAGAAACUUAGCUAAAUAUUUUCUGAAGGCCUUAUGUUCAGUUAUCUUUUAUUUUAGUAUUAUUGUUAAGUAUCUCGAUUAUUUUCUAUACUAUUUAUGAUGAUAUGCUCCCCCCAGUUUUUAAUCAUAGCUGAGUUUUAUGUAUUCUUUUUUAGUAUGGCCUUUCUUUGAAAUUAUAAAACUUACGUAAUUUUUUCUGAAGUUUUCCUAGCUUCAACAACAUUUUUUUCAUUAUGUUCUAGAACAUUUUAAAUCUUAGUAUUUAAAACCAUAGAUUUCCUUGCUGAACAAAAUUUAGCAUUUUAUUUAUGAUAACUUGUCAUUUUGUGCUUUGCUAAUUUUCUCACUCUUUAUCUUAUGCUAAUACUUUCCUCUCUACUGUUGUCUGCUGCUUCUUACAGUUUCUUAGAAUUUUAGGUAAGGAUUACAUAUUAAAUUAUUGAAUCAGCAUUCUCUCAGAUAAAAGCAAGAAGGACUGGUUUUAAUAAUCUUCUAGUGGUCAGAAACUUAAAAAUAGGUUUGUCUAUUUUAAAGAAGAAUUGUAUCCCAGUUUUUUUUUUUAUCGAAUACCUUCAUCAGUAACAAAUAUUUUUAGGUAUACAGCUUCAAAAUACGUAUGUGUAUAUAUUUACAAAUUGUACGGGUUCUACUGUGGCAAUAUAUAUAUUGUACAUUAUGCAACACUGAAAAAUAGACAUCUUAGAAGGGUAAAGAAUAUUAAUAGAAAUUCUAAUAUUUUCCUUCUGUAUCUCUGGUUCAUUUUGUCUGUGUCCUAGGAGGUGUCUAUCUGUUUUGGAGACCACUGCUUUAGAGGUUAAGAUUAGACAGAGAGAGGGAGUGGGAGAUUAUUACUAAAUUGGCUUGUUGAACGAACAGUUGAGCCUUUUGUUUAUGUUUGAGCGACCUCACCAGGGACAUCUACAUUCCAGACUGAGUUUGGAAGAAGAGCCUUCCUGUCAAGUCUCCAGAUGAGAACUCACCUCUGGGCCAACAUCUUGUGUGCAGCCUUGAUGAGGACCCAGAUAAGCCAUGCCCAGCAUCCUGACCCACAGAAACUGUGAGAUAAUAAAUGUAUAUUGCCUUAAGCCACUAACUGUAGAAAUUCGUUGUUCUUCGGUAACAAAACACAUAGCCUGGGAACAGGGGGGUGGGCAGCGUAGAACAAUAGAAGCCUAGCAGAGAGGGGAUCUACUGGGGAAAGUGAAUCUUAGCCAGUGUACUUCGAGCAUCCUAGCCCUUUAAAUAAGCUGUUCUCCAGGUGGUAAUAAAUAAAGCUUGAGUUCGGGUGAGUUUACCUUCCCUUGUUUUGAUUUUAUGCUCACAGAAAAACGUGUUAAUUAUUACAUGCUCCCCGUGUGUAGGUCCACUUCAGGGAGAGGAAGUCCAGGUCCAUCUGACUUGCGUAAGUGAAUUCUGAGGGUUUGUGAGAUUUGUUUAAUCGGUUGGAUUUGUUUAAUUGGUUGGGUCCAGGCCACUGUGGCAUGGUAAAAAUUGACCUCAUCCCUCUGCUUGGAGUCCUCUAGGCUGUAGUUGUAGUUGAAUGCUGUGUGAGACACAUUAAACAGUUGAUCCCAGCCUCUGCCAGAUUAUUAGUGAUCAAUGGAAUGGUACAUGAAUUUCAUGAAAUUCAUGAAAAUUUCCCUAAGACUAAGAUGGUGUAGAAAUGAAGGUUGAGAAAUACUUCUCCAUAGUUCUUCUGCGUUUCUGCACAUCUUGCAAGCAGAGGCACUGACUGCUUUUUCUAGACUAUCUUCUUAAAGAUGUUUGUGUACUGAACAGCCUUGCUAAAGAUAGAGAUGAUGUCUCUUUGGAACAAAAAGCAGGGUUGCUUAAAGCCUUGGAAGAUAAACUUAGUGUCUCCCUUUGGAACAAAAAUGCUGACAUUUUGCCUACUACUAGUGCUGGAAAUGAUACAGUCCUUUGUCUUAGACCCAUGGGUCUUGUGUCUUCUUUUUUCAGCAUUCAUGGAAUGGUACAGAUUAGCUUGCUAGCUUCCAAGUAAGGUAAAAUCUCAGAGCCUUCAGAGGUCUUGAAACUUGUGUUGGUUAAUAGUCAAGAUUUUAUUUUUUGACAGAACAGAAGUUAAUCUACUCAUGAAUAAACUUUUUCCAGAAUGGAUUGAGUACCCAUAUGUUUUUCUCCUCCCUGGAAAAAAAGAUUUUUAUUUGCUUUGUUGGAUAAAAUUGCUCCAUUUAUUUCUUAAGCAUAUUGUAUCAAUGAGUGAGUAUUCCUAAGAGUGAAGUUAUCUGAGACAGUCACAUUUUCUACACUAGCUAAUUGUAUUAACUUUUCCUGGGCUUCAGUUUUAUCCUACAAAUGAGAGACUCAUAUUCUUAAGGUCCUUUCCAACUGCAGUACUUCUAGGCAAUGUAAAAAACAGCAUUCCUUUAAUUUUGUUUAUUUGAUGAGUACUUAACAUUGUUCUUACUAUGGGACAGGUACCAUUCUUAAGUGCUUUUCAAAUAAUCAUUUAAACAAAGGUGAGGUAGGUAAGGAAAACGAGGUAGGGAGUUUAGUAAUUUGCUCAAGGUCAUCCAGCUAGAGGGUGACAUAGCUGGGCUCAAACCUAAGUAAAAUUUGUACUCUUUUCCACCAUGCUGUGCUGCUCCCAGCUUUUCACUGAAAAAAUGAUUCACUUUCUGCCCUCUGAGAACUCGCCACAGGAGAGAAUGAGGCAAGUCCCUGCUCUCCAGAAUCUUCACACUAAGUGAGAAUUUUGUGCUCUGUGUUUGUGUGUGUGUGUGUAUGUGAAUGUGUCCCACAGCAGGACUCCAAGGUAAGCAUUCCUAUGUAAGAAUACCUCUUUAGAAUGUAAAAGUGUACAUGUUUAGGUUAAGUAAUUGGUUCCAGGUUUUUAAAUGUCUUAUUUAAAGUUGUUGAAAUAAACCUUUAAAUGUCUUAUUGAGGGUUGUUGAAAUAAAUCUUAGGGCUCUAAUCUGGUAGUAAUAAAUUAGGUGAGACUUUUAGGGAACUAUGCAGACAAUUGGCCAAAAGGCUUACCUGUUUGAUACCUAAAAUAAGAUUAAUAAAAUUAUGUAUGGAAAUUAAAAUAGUUACACUGAAUCAUUUUCUUGGAAAGUUUUUAGUCAGCCCACAUCUCAUUUACAUAUGUUAGUGAGAGCUUCUUGAGGAUAAUAAUGGACUUUUUUUCAUCUUUGUGUCUGUAUCUGUGUUGCACCUAAGACAGUAUUUUUUCGCUGUAUUCACUUAAGUGUUGAGUGAAUGAUCAACUCAAUUUUAUAGGAUACAAGGUGAUUCUCCAUAUCUGUCAGGGUCCUGGCAGGAAGCAGAAUUACACUCAGGGGUCCAUCUGAACAGACUUGAAGGAAAGAACUGCUUGCUGAAGACUAAGGGAACAAACAAGGGGUGUUGAGGCACUCUCUGCUGUUGUGACUCCUAGGUCAAAAGGGGCAGCUAUUAUAUAGUAACCGCGUGAAGCUCCGUGAGAGCAGAGGUAGGACUUACGGAGGAGGGACAGUGACAGAGCUGUGACUGGCACAGCAGGCAGGAAAGCGGGACAAGGGAUAGAUAUCCCUUUGUCUCCUGCCAAUAAUCCUCUUGGUAGCUGAACCCCGCUAGAAUACUGCGUGAUAGGGAGUGGAUCGGGGAGGGAGGGGGACAAAUGGAAAAUAGCCAGCGUGCUAGAAACAUAUCCGGAUUUGUCUCUGCAUUCAAUCUGCUAUAACAAUACCAUAGACCGCUUGGCUUAUAAACAGAAGUGUAUUCCUCACAGCUUUGGAGACUGGGAAGUCCACCAACAGGGUUCUGGCAAGAUUCAGUGUCUGGUAAGGACUCACUUCCUGAUUCAUAGAAGGCUGUCUUCUUCCUGCAAGUUCACAUGGCAAGAGGAGAGGGUAUGCACUUCUCUGGGGUCUCUUUUGUAAGGGUGCCGAUCUUGUUCACGAGGACUCUGCUCAAAUGACCUAAUCACCUCUCAAAGGUCCUGCUGCCUACUACCAUCAAGUUAUGGCUUAGGAUUUCAAGAUGAAUUUUAGGGGAACACACAUUCAUGCUAUAGCAGAAUCGAAGCAUGCAUCGUCAUUUAAUGCAGUUUGAUUCCUCACUUGCAAAAAUUAUUAAAUCUUUCCUCUAUCGGUUUUAUGCAUAUUUUAUGAAAAGCCAAAUGCAUUCGAGUUGUUUUCCAGUUAAUCGUUUAAUAUUCACAUUGCUAAUAAUUUACAUGAAGUACUGAAUUUAAAUCAUUAGUAGGUGGUGCCGCUGAGAUUGGAUCCUGAAAAACAUAAAACUAGACAUUUAAAACUGAAUAUUAUCUAGGAUUCAGACAGGUUACUUGGGAAAGAAUGUUGCAAUCCAGUCAGUUUCUGAUUCGUUGUUUGAAUUUUCAGGGGAAGAGAAUUACAUGCAAGGAACUUCACAGCUGUGUCUCUGGCAGCCUCAUCUCAUGAGGCAAAUAGGAGCAAUGAUUUGUUGACCCACUGAGAUAUCAUUUUUCUGUCACCCCUCAGGAAACACAGUAGUACAGGCCUUUACUAAUAGGAAUAGGCCCAUAAAAACCGUGGAGUUGUAAAAUGUCUAACCUUGCAUGGAUUUUAAAGAUGCUGAAAUCUAUCACUCAAAUUAGGUACUUGGUAAAAUACAGAUUUUCAGGCCAUUUGCCUGGAGAUUCUGAUUUAGUUGACCUGAGGUAGGCUGGAAAUCUAUAAUUUAACAACUGUCCCCAGUGAUCCUUAUGGUCGCACUAGUUUGGAAAACACUGAUAUAUGUAGCUUCUUUUUGACCUAAAUUUCCUUACAUACUUGGCCUGAGACUGCACAGACAUUUUAGAGUGACAGUCACCGGGGACCCUCUCCCAGAAAAAUGUUCCUACCCAGAGCUUUACAUACAAUUUCAGAUGCUUCAGAGACCCGUAGAGUCCAUCUACAUCACCUACUUUGCACACCCUUAGAGAAUCGGUUCGAAAUUCCCCAGGCUAGAUUUCAAGGUUUCCCGUGAUCUUGGUCUAUGCUACUGAUUGAGCCUUUGGCCUCAUCAUACCCAUCAUACUCAGGAGCUGUAAGGACGAGCAAAUUUUUCAGUUUAUAUUCCUGGACACAUGGAAAAAUUAAAAUCAAAGGAACCAGUAUGCUUCUCUUAAAGCCUGUAUGUGUUUGUCAAAAUACAGAAUAUCAUCUGGGGCACCUGGGUGGUGCAGUCAGUUAAGCAACCGACUCAGCUUUGGCUCAGGUCAUGAUCUCAGAGUUGUGGGUU